rnacentral:misc_RNA from 1 species
CGCAUCUUGCGCUCUCUGGUAUUCCGGAGAGCAUGCCUGUUUGAGUGUCAUGAACUCAUCAACCCACCGGUUCCUUGUUGAACCGGCUGGUGUUUGGAUCUUGAGCGUUGCUGGCCCUAGUGGCGAAGCUCGUUCGUAAUACAUUAGCAACUCAAUUUCGUAUUUUCGGAUUGACUCGGCGUAAUAGACUAUUCGCUGAGGACACUUCGGUGGCCGAAUUACGAGGUAGAAGCUUCCAAUUCUUCUAGUCAAACUUUUAAGAUUAGACCUCAAAUCAGGCAGGAUUACCCGCUGAACUUAA